rnacentral:rRNA from 1 species
CCGGAUUUAUUGGGUUUAAAGGGUGCGCAGGCGGACUAAUAAGUCAGUGGUGAAAUUUACAUGCUUAACAUGUGACGUGCCAUUGAUACUGUUAGACUAGUAUACAAAUGACGUAGCUGGAAUGUGUUAUGUAGCGGUGAAAUGCAUAGAUAUAACACAGAACACCGAUCGUGGAGACAGGUUACGAAUUUGUGAUAGACGCUCAUGCACGAAAGCGUGGGGAUCAAACAGGAUUAGAUACCCUGGUAGUCCACGCUGUAAACGAUGAUAACUUGUUGUUGGGCACAUAGUGCUCAGUGGCUAAGCGAAAGCGAUAAGUUAUCCACCUGGGGAGUACGAUCGCAAGGUUGAAACUCAAAGGAAUUGACGGGGGCCCGCACAAGCGGAGGAACAUGUGGUUUAAUUCGAUGGUACGCGAGGAACCUUACC